rnacentral:rRNA from 1 species
AUCGAACGCUGGCGGAAUGCUUUACACAUGCAAGUCGAACGGUAGAGGGGGCAACCCCUCGAGAGUGGCGAACGGGUGAGUAAUAUAUCGGAACGUGCCCAGUCGUGGGGGAUAACGUAGCGAAAGUUACGCUAAUACCGCAUACGAUCUAAGGAUGAAAGCGGGGGAUCGCAAGACCUCGCGCGAUUGGAGCGGCCGAUAUCAGAUUAGGUAGUUGGUGGGGUAAAGGCUCACCAAGCCAACGAUCUGUAGCUGGUCUGAGAGGACGACCAGCCACACUGGAACUGAGACACGGUCCAGACUCCUACGGGAGGCAGCAGUGGGGAAUUUUGGACAAUGGACGCAAGUCUGAUCCAGCCAUUCCGCGUGCAGGAUGAAGGCCCUCGGGUUGUAAACUGCUUUUGUACGGAACGAAAAGGUCUCUCUUAAUACGGGGGACUCAUGACGGUACCGUAAGAAUAAGCACCGGCUAACUACGUACCAGCCGCCGCAGUAA